rnacentral:tRNA from 1 species
CGGGGCGUGGCGCAGCCUGGUAGCGCACUGGCAUGGGGGGCCAGGGGUCAUGGGUUCAAAUCCCGUCGCCCCGACCA